rnacentral:rRNA from 1 species
GAUGAACGCUGGCGGCGUGCCUAAUACAUGCAAAUCGAGCGAACGGACGAGAAGCUUGCUUCUCUGAUGUUAGCGGCGGACGGGUGAGUAACACGUGGAUAACCUACCUAUAAGACUGGGAUAGCUUCGGGAAACCGGAGCUAAUACCGGAUAAUAUUUUGAACCGCAUUGUUCAAAAGUGAAAGACGGUCUUGCUGUCACUUAUAGAUGGAUCCGCGCUGCAUUAGCUAGUUGGUAAGGUAACGGCUUACCAAGGCAACGAUGCAUAGCCGACCUGAGAGGGUGAUCGGCCACACUGGAACUGAGACACGGUCCAGACUCCUACGGGAGGCAGCAGUAGGGAAUCUUCCGCAAUGGGCGAAAGCCUGACGGAGCAACGCCGCGUGAGUGAUGAAGGUCUUCGGAUCGUAAAACUCUGUUAUUAGGGAAGAACAUAUGUGUAAGUAACUGUGCACAUCUUGACGGUACCUAAUCAGAAAGCCACGGCUAACUACGUG